CCAACGGCCCUCUUUAGGGCCACCAAAAUGCGUUUCAGAGGAAUCU
rfam:Haemonchus contortus, ISE/inbred ISE, WGS project CAVP01000000 data, contig: Hcontortus_22241